UACUGCGUGCGUGAGUGAAGCCACUC
rnacentral:piRNA from 1 species